UACAGAGGGUGCAAGCGUUGUCCGGAAUUACUGGGCGUAAAGCGUGCGCAGGCGGUUCGCUAAGACAGAUGUGAAAUCCCCGGGCUUAACCUGGGAACUGCAUUUGUGACUGGCGGGCUAGAGUAUGGCAGAGGGGGGUAGAAUUCCACGUGUAGCAGUGAAAUGCGUAGAUAUCAGGAGGAACACCGAUGGCGAAGGCAGGUCUCUGGGCUGACACUGACGCUCAUGCACGAAAGCGUGGGGAGCAAACAGG
rnacentral:rRNA from 1 species